rnacentral:rRNA from 1 species
UACAGAGGUCUCAAGCGUUGUUCGGAUUCAUUGGGCGUAAAGGGUGCGUAGGUGGCGAUGUAAGUUUGGUGUGAAAUUUUGGGGCUCAACCUCAAAACUGCAUUGAAUACUGCAUUGCUUGAGGAUUGUAGAGGAGAGUGGAAUUCACGGUGUAGCAGUGAAAUGCGUAGAUAUCUGGAGGAACACCGGUGGCGAAGGCGGCAUCCUGGACCAACACUGACGCUGAGUGAGCGAAAGCCAGGGGAGCAAACGGG